rnacentral:rRNA from 1 species
GACGAACGCUGGCGGCGUGCCUAACACAUGCGAGUCGAGCGAAUGAAGUUCCUUCGGGAAUGGAUUUAGCGGCGGACGGGUGAGUAACACGUGGGCAACCUGCCUCAUAGAGGGGAAUAGCCUCCCGAAAGGGAGAUUAAUACCGCAUAAGAUUGUAGUACCGCAUGAUACAGCAAUUAAAGGAGCAAUCCGCUAUGAGAUGGGCCCGCGGCGCAUUAGCUAGUUGGUGAGGUAAUGGCUCACCAAGGCGACGAUGCGUAGCCGACCUGAGAGGGUGAUCGGCCACAUUGGGACUGGGACACGUCCCAGACUCCUGCGGGAGGCAGCAGUGGGGACUAUUGCACAAUGGGGGAAACCCUGAUGCAGCAACGCCGCGUGAGUGAUGUCGGCCUUCGGGUUGUAAAGCUCUGUCUGCAGGGACGAAAUGACGGUACCUGAGGAGGAAGCCACGGCUAACUACGUG